GAAUAUUGGACAAUGGGGGAAACCCUGAUCCAGCCAUGCCGCGUGUGUGAAGAAGGUCUUCGGAUUGUAAAGCACUUUAAGUUGGGAGGAAGGGCGUCAAGCUAAUACCUUGAUGCUUUGACGUUACCAAACGAAAAAGCACCGGGUAACUCUGGGCCAUCUGCCGGGGUAAUACAGAGGGUGCAAGCUUUCAUCGGAAUGACUGGGCGUAAAGCGCGCGUAGGUGGUUCAGUAAGAUGGGUGUGAAAUCCCCGGGCUCAACCUGGGAACUGCUUUCAUAACUGCUGAGCUAGAGUACGGUAGAGGGUAGUGGAAUUUCCUGUGUAGCGGUGAAAUGCGUAGAUAUAGGAAGGAACACCAGUGGCGAAGGCGACUACCUGGACUGAUACUGACACUGAGGUGCGAAAGCGUGGGGAGCAAACAG
rnacentral:rRNA from 1 species